rnacentral:rRNA from 1 species
UGCACAAUGACCUGCGGGUUCAAUUGCCGCGGUACCCUGACCGUGCUAAGGUAGCGUAAUCAAUAGCCUAUUAAUUGUUGGCCUGUAUGAAUGGCACGACGCUGGUGACGCUGUCUCUGUAGUGUUUUGUUGAAUUUAACUUUUUGGUGAAAAGGCCAAAAUGCCGCUAAAAGACGAUAAGACCCUGUCGAACUUUAGGCUAACCGCUGAUGCUAGUUGUCGGCUAUAAACCUUUGGUUGGGGAAACCGGGGACCAAAAAAAGCGUCCGCCCGACACUGCUUAAGCCCAAGGGUCAGUUGAAUGCUUUAGAUUAAAAGAUAUCUGACGGGAUGAGAGUUACUUAGAGUGAUCCGGAGUUUAAAUCUUCGACUAUGGGAAAAGUUACCGCAGGGAUAACAGCGUAAUCCUCUCGGAGAGACCACAUUAAUGAGGGGGUUUGCGACCUCGAUGUUGGCUUGGGGCGUCCCGGAAGUGCAGGAGCUUCCAAAGGUUGGUCUG